UACGAAGGGGGCUAGCGUUGCUCGGAAUUACUGGGCGUAAAGGGAGCGUAGGCGGAUAGUUUAGUCAGAGGUGAAAGCCCAGGGCUCAACCUUGGAAUUGCCUUUGAUACUGGCUAUCUUGAGUAUGGGAGAGGUUAGCGGAACUCCGAGUGUAGAGGUGAAAUUCGUAGAUAUUCGGAAGAACACCAGUGGCGAAGGCGGCUAACUGGCCCAUUACUGACGCUGAGGCUCGAAAGCGUGGGGAGCAAACAGG
rnacentral:rRNA from 2 species